UGUUUGUUUGUUUCCUAUUUGGUUUGGUUUAUUUUCACUUUCGCCCCCCUGCCCCCCCCCCCCUCCGCCGGUCAAGUGAUUCUGUUUCCAAUUCUAAAUAUGGGCAUUAAAGCUUAUGUUGUACCAAAAGAAAAUCUGCUUUACUACAGACCACAAAGAACAAAGUUGACCACAGAGUUUGACAAAACUACUAGAAUGAAAAUCCUGUAAAAUCUGGGUGAAUGAUCCUUCAAGACACACGAUGUACACAGUGUGAAGAGUCUUGACUUUCUUUUUUUUUCCUACUGGCAGUCCUCACCCUCACUGUGAGUUUUCACUGUGUAAGACUUCUGAAUGGGAUCUGUGCAGACUUCCAGUUGGAAAGACCAGCAGAAAUCUUCUCAUUUGGACAUGGGCAUAUGAAAAACAAUGGCCAUGUGGUCAAUGAAUGAAACUGCCAAGGUGACAAAUUUCUAAACACAGGAUAAUGUAUAACAUUGCUUUUUAAAUUAAUUAUCAAUUAGCUUUUUGUGUAGUUUUUUUUUCAAUAAGAGAAAAUGUUGGAAAAAUAAAUAUAUUAUUUUGUGGUUGGUAUACCACAGCCCACUUAAUGUUGAGUGCUUUAUCUCUUUGUUGUGAAAUCCUUCUAGCCUGUGUCGGUUGGUAUCUACCAAAUGGCUUCUGUGUGUUCUACGAUUAGGUGGGGAGACCCUACAAGGUGUAGAAAAGUUUGAGGUGUGGCAUAUGCAUUAACUCCUUACACAGAUUUCUUUUUCGAAACAUAUGAUGUAACUCAAAAAUUAUAUAACAAUAUGAGGAAAAAAGAGUAGUAUCUAUAAAAGGGUUAGAGGUUAUGCAAUCUUUUAGAAGAAGAAAACUAUAGAAAUUAUCACAAUCUGAAAGAAGCAUAAUGAUCACCCAUUUUUUAAACAAAGGCGAUAAUUAUACACAUAUCGGUUGAAGGAUUUUCACUGGACUUCCUUAGAGCUUUGAUGCCAUAUGUCAGCAAUUCUCUCUGAUUGACAAUGGGCAUUAUCUUGAUCUAGCUAGUGGUCUAAUUUGCCUAGUCCUAUUUUUAAAACAAAAUGUAAUUAUAAAAUUUUUGUCAUCUUUUAUUAGGUCAGGUUUUGCAUUCUGAAAAGUGCUAAUAUACAGUGAUAUUAGUGGGAUUUCUUAAGAACUAAAUUGAUAGCUGGCAUUCAUUUAAUUGCAAAUUCUACUAAAGUAAUAAUUAAAGAGCCUUGUGAAUACUUCCAUAUCAAAGUAAACUAGCAUAGAGUAUUGAGCAUGGUUUUUUUUUUUUCUUCUCAAAGUAAUUCCAGUUUACCACUGUUUUAAAUAGUGCUUGAAGUUAAAUUCUAUUUUAAUUGCUAAAAAUAUUUGUCAUAUUAAAGAAAAUUCAACCAAAGGAAGUUUUUUGCACUUUGGAGCACAGGGCUCUUGCUGUCAGAUGCUGGUAACUUCCCUGUUAACAUUUACAGUCUGGAUUAUAUCUAGAUAUGUUUCCUAACCCUUCAAGUAGAAUGAAUUGACUAUGAGUUUAGAAGUUAAAUUCUUUGGCAUUGUGAUUUUUCUUUUCAGAAUUAUUCAACAGAUUGUAGCAGAACAUUUUGGAGUGUUUGCCUGAAUUAUAAGGAUUCUCUAACUCUUCCCACCUUGUCUGUUUAUCUAACAUCACUCAUGUAGCCCAUCUACCACCCCACCCCAUCUUAGGUGAUUUAUUGGAGGUCAUACCUGAAAAAUUUUCAUCAAAGUUGGCUUAAGUUUUCUGUUUGUUUCUGUUUCUAAUAGGCAAAAAAAAAAAAAAAAAAAAAAAA
rnacentral:lncRNA from 1 species